AGAUAGGCAUAAGGUGAUUUCUGUAUUAGCUAGUAUACUUAUUCAUUAGCUUUCGUAAUUAAAGCUAAUGCAAACAUAACAUCUCGAUCGUGAAAAUAAGCCAUAAAGCUAUGUGUGUGGAUACAGGAAUGCACUCAAAUGGGGAUAAUUAUUUCACAAAACAAGUGUCUGUUGUUUUUAUUCCUGUUAGAGUUUAGCUUUUAAGAAAUAAAAUCUUAUUCUUGUUUCCAAGGAAGUACAUAUUCGUUGUAGAAGAUCUAGAGAAUACCAGUCAGAUUUAGAGAAAUAUUGACUAUGCUUGUAAUAUUUCUAUGUGUGGUUAUGUAUCACACACCUGUCUAGGUAAGCGUAGUGUAUAAUUUACUUUCUAUCUCAAAUUUUCUAUCUCAAAUUUUAAUACAAAGCAUUAUACAAAAGGCCAUAAAUAUGAGAUAACCAGAUAACUGCCAAUAACUUGAUUGUCUAGUGGAUGGGCUGAUACUAUUAAAUAUAUGUAAGACUCCUUUUUGCUUGUUGGCUUCCAGACAUCUUAUCUGUAACUCAGACCGGUGAGUAUCAUUUUCACACAUGGUAAUGCCCACUAGUGAAUGAGACCAGAACAAAGAUUAGAUUCGAUAUUAAUGUUUGGUUACCUACUAGGCUUUCUUCCCACCUCGGUGACCUCUCCCCACCGAUUUUAAUAACCAGGCUGUUUCAAGUUUAGGUCUUCAUGAAUUUAUAAAUUCUGAUACACCACGGGCCUUAGCGCCAGAAGUUUAAAUGCCGACGACACGGAUGUCUACGGUGUUAAUGGAGCAACUUUUUAAAAACCCAUCUGUUAGAGCUCGUCCUUUCCAGGACGUGUUUUGGUGAACAUGGCCGCCUAAGAGGUUACGCAUCGUCUCCACAGUCUGGGACUGUCGUUCGUGAAUGUAUUGAUUCAGCAACACUGGGUGCUGUGUGUGCUGGCAUUUUCACAGGCCCUGUGGAUGUAACAAUGGAUGAGACACGUAGGCUGCCGUGUCAUGAGGGAGAGUGGUGACAGCCAGCCAUUGUGAGACAGGAGUUCAAGCUGUGAAGGGAAGGCGGCACAGGGGGGUAGGGCCUCCCGUCCCCCCGAGUCCCUGGAGUCCGGUGGCUUGUAAAAGCCAUGGGAGUUCUACACUAAAUACUGCGGGUGGGAAUUCCAGGGUGUUGGGGGAGGCGGUGAGAGAGGAAACAGUGUCCUAAAGAGAAGAAUGAAGAAGCAGACAUGAGCUCUGGUUGUCUUCCCUUACCCCAGACAUUAAAGACAUUCGCAAAACGACAGCACUCUUCUCAUCAUAUUUUUUGUUGGGGAAAAUACAGUUUUCAUAAAAAUAUAUGAGAUCUGUAGAUGUAUAUGUAAAAAGAAAGUGCAUGAGUCAUGAUGGCUGUAUUGAGGGCCAAGAAGGCCUGCUGGUUCGGGAGACCGUUAGAGCCACUUUGACCUUGGAAAAGCCCCAGGAUUUGGAAGAGGGUAUGGCGUGCAGUAGGUACUCCGCAAAUGCUUCCUGAUAAUUGACUGGCAAAAUGAUGGUUGUGCAGCUGCAAAAUCCUUGUUGAGGUCUAACCCCAGAUAGGUCCAAGCCUCGGACUGCUCCCUAAUUUGUUACCUCAGUUCCAGGAGUGCCCAAGUCAUCCGAACGAGAAAGUCCAGGCGGCCGAGGCACGCGGAACCGGCCUCCGCCUCUUGGGAUGCAGAUGCUCUGCUCAGGCCAGGAUUUCAGAGAGAGCUGGAUCACAUUUGGGUUAGCGGGUGCUGACUCAGUCGGGCUCUUGGUCUGUCCUCGUCCAAACCGUCAAGAACGUGUCCCGUCCCAGCCUCUUCAGAUCGUGCUUCCCGCGCUCCCCACAGGUGGGCGUCUCCUCCGAGCUGGUGUCUGACUUUCUUGAUGCCAUUCUCCGGGCAGAAGGUCCCCCUGCUCUGAAGCCCCGUCCGGCUCAGAGCUGCAGGGUGGACAGGGUUAUGUGACGGCAGGCGCACCUGCUGAUGUUUUGUGUCUGCCCAGACACUCCCGUGACGCCGCGAGGACUCUCCAUCCGUUGAAACUGGUCAAGUACAGAUGGUGACGAGCCCGCGGAAAGGUGCGCUGCAUCUCUGUCCUCUGGGAAACGCGGAUUAAAACCACGACGAAGUGGCAGCACCCAACGGUGAGAAAUGGGGACGUCCAAGACGCCGACAACACCAAACCCAGGGGAGGAGAAGGAGCAGCUGGGACUGUCGCACGCACGGAGGCUGGGAGAGCGAGAGGGUGUGGCCGCGCUGGAAGACGGUGCGUGGGCUUCUCAGGGAACUAAGCAGCGUCUGCCCACAUCAUCCAGCAUUGUGCUCCUUGGUGUUUACCCAGAGGAGCUGAGAACUUGCGUCUGCACGGAAACCGGCACACAGACGUGCGUAGUAGCUUCGUUCAUAGCCGCCAAAGCCCGGAGGCCGCCAAGACACCCUUCAGGAGGUGCUGAGUAAACGAACCAUGGCCCAUCCAGACACUGGAUCUUACUCAGCACCAAGAAGGAGUGAGCUCUCGGGCCAUGGGAAGACAGAGGGAACUUGCGGUCCGUGAUUACUAAGGGAGGAAAGUGGACGUCAAGACGCUCCCUACUGUAGGGUUCCAGUUCUGUGCCCUGCUGGGAAAGGCAGAACCCCAGAGACAGUAAACAGAUCUGUGGCUGCCUGGCGCUGGGGGUCACGGAGGUACAUAGGCCGUACCACGUCGGAUGUUCAGGGCAUAUGAUACUGUAUGAUACCACAUGAUACUGUAGUGGUGGGUACAUGUCAGUUGAUGUCCAAAACCCACAGACCUGCAGCACCAAUGGUGAAUGAUAAGAAAACUGUGGACUUUGGACGAGUAUGAUGUGUCACUGUAGGCUCAUCAGUUUGUAACAUACUUACGUUGCUGGUGGGAGAGGUGGUGCCUUUGUGGGGGAACAGCUGUCCGGGACGUCCCUGGACCUUCCUCCCAGUUCCAGUGUGAGCCUGAGGCUAAAACUGCUCUAAGAAAUAAAGACUUAACAAAAACAACAACUCGUCGAGCACCUGUGGGGCUCCGUCAUUUGUGCCUCCGACUCUUGAUUUCAGCUCAGGUCGUGGUCUCAGCGUCGUGAGAUGGAGCCCCCACGUCGUUGGCUCUGUGCUGAGUCGGGAUCUACUUCUUUCCCUUUCCCUCUCCUGCCCCUGCACCUGCUUGUGCACUCUGUCUCUGAAAUACACCUUUUUAAAAAAAUUAAAAACGAGUGAUCCAGUUUUGGUGUGAUCCGAUCAAUUAA